GGAGAGGUGUCCGAGUGGCUUAAGGAGCGCGCUUGGAAAGCGCGUGGGCGUUUACGCGCCUCGUGGGUUCGAAUCCCACCCUCUCCG
rnacentral:tRNA from 1 species